rnacentral:rRNA from 1 species
GAUAGAUAGGCAUGCGUUCCAUUAGGCAGUUGGCGGGGUAACGGCCACCCAAACCGACGAUGGAUAGGGGUUCUGAGAGGAAGGUCCCCCACAUUGGUACUGAGACACGGACCAAACUCCUACGGGAGGCAGCAGUGAGGAAUAUUGGUCAAUGGGCGUAAGCCUGANCCAGCCAAGUCGCGUGAGGGAUGAAGGUUCUAUGGAUCGUAAACCUCUUUUAUAAGGGAAUAAAGUGUGGGACGUGUCCUAUUUUGUAUGUACCUUAUGAAUAAGGAUCGGCUAACUCCGUGCCAGCAGCCGCGGUAAUACGGAGGAUCCGAGCGUUAUCCGGAUUUAUUGGGUUUAAAGGGUGCGUAGGCGGCCUUUUAAGUCAGCGGUGAAAGUCUGUGGCUCAACCAUAGAAUUGCCGUUGAAACUGGGGGGCUUGAGUAUGUUUGAGGCAGGCGGAAUGCGUGGUGUAGCGGUGAAAUGCUUAGAUAUCACGCAGAACCCCGAUUGCGAAGGCAGCCUGCCAAGCCAUGACUGACGCUGAUGCACGAAAGCGUGGGGAUCAAACAGGAUUAGAUACCCUGGUAGUCCACGCAGUAAACGAUGAUCACUAGCUGUUUGCGAUACAGUGUAA